rnacentral:rRNA from 1 species
ACCCGCUGAACUUAAGCAUAUCAAUAAGCGGAGGAAAAGAAACCAACAGGGAUUGCCUUAGUAACGGCGAGUGAAGCGGCAAAAGCUCAAAUUUGAAAUCGGCCCCCAGGUCGAGUUGUAAUUUGUAGAUUGUAUCUUGAGAGCGGAUUAAAGUCUGUUGGAACACAGCGCCUUAGAGGGUGACAGCCCCGUAAAAUCUAUUCUCAUUGUAAGAUACUUUCGAAGAGUCGAGUUGUUUGGGAAUGCAGCUCUAAGUGGGAGGUAAAUUCCUUCUAAAGCUAAAUAUUGACGAGAGACCGAUAGCGAACAAGUACUGUGAAGGAAAGAUGAAAAGCACUUUGAAAAGAGAGUGAAAAAGUCCGUGAAAUUGUUAAAAGGGAAGGGUAUUGAAUCAGACUUGGUGCUGUUGUUCAACUGUGUUUCGGCAUAGUGUACUCAGCAGUACUAGGCCAAGGUGGGGUGUUUGGGAGUGAAAAAGAAGUUGGAACGUAACUCUUCGGAGUGUUAUAGCCUACUUUCAUAGCUCCUCAGGCGCCUCAGGACUGCGCUUCGGCAAGGACCUUGGCAUAAUGAUUCUAUACCGCCCGUCUUGAAACACGGACCAAGGAG